AUAUAUAAUGUAAUUACUGGUAUAUGUUUUACUGUUUUGUUUAAACUGUUUCAAACUUGUUUCUAUGUCAUCAUCUGAAACUGUCUUAAACUUCAGACUGGGGAGUUGGUGAGCCGUCUGAUGUGAACCAUUCGGAGGAUUGCGUCCAUAUGUGGAUGCCAAAGAACUACACGUGGGGAGAUUUUCAAUGCAGACAUCCGCUGCAAUUCAUUUGCGAAAUGAGUGGACAUGUCGAUGGGGAGCCAAACAUGGUUGGAUAGACCCUGGAAAACAUAUUUAGCAUUAAAAACAUCAAUGUGA